rnacentral:lncRNA from 1 species
AUUUCUCGACCAAGAAACUAGGUGAUCUCUUGGAGUUAGGUCGUGUUCCUCCUGCUGUUAAUCAGGUCGAGUGUCAUCCUUCUUGGCGACAAACUAAGCUACGAGAGUUCUGCAAAUCCAAAGGAGUUCACCUUAGUGUAAGCAUUACUCAUCUCACCAAUCGAUUUACUAUUAUCCAUUUGUCAAUAUGUGACAUGCCUUAUACUACAUUGAUUGAAUAUUCUUGCAAUGCAAGGCGUACUUUCCAUUGGGUUCUCCAGGAACAACGUGGCUUAAAAGCGAUGUUUUGAAGAACCCAAUACUGAAUAUGGUUGCGGAGAAGCUUGGAAAAUCUGCUGCUCAAGUUGCACUUCGCUGGGGACUCCAAAUGGGUAACAGUGUACUUCCCAAAAGUACCAAUGAAGGAAGAAUCAGAGAGAACUUAGAUAUUUUCGACUGGUCAAUACCCGA